rnacentral:lncRNA from 1 species
GUCAUUUGAGUUUCUGUUUGUGUUUCAUCCAUAGUCGGAUGAUGCUCUUAUGUAUUGUGAUGUUGUAUUCAUGUGGUAUUGUAUGCCUUUUGUAUGUAUCCCCAUCUAUUAUGUAAUGUUGAUGUAAUGAUAUCCACCUUGCAAAAGCGUUUCAAUAUGCGAUUCUAUCCUUGGUGGGAUCUUCGAGUCUCUUUAGGACAGUAUCGCAUAUUGGGCGUGACACAAGGGGACAAAACUGGAACAUUCAAGUGAAAGUAAUGAGAAUGUGGGAUUCAGUGAAUCCUACGACCAAUGAGCUUAUUGGCCUAGAUAUGAUACUGAUGGAUGAGCAUGCCUGUUUUCUAAUAUAUUAACUUCAAAUUUUUCUGUCAGAUGAAGCAAGUUAUUAACCAUAUUUGAUUUUUUGACAGGAUGAAACAAUCCAUGCUACUAUUUGGAAGAAUCUUAUAGACACUUUUAGAUCAAAGAUCAAUGAAAAAUCUAUUUAUGCAUUCAGAAAUUUUAAGUUCGUGGAAUCCAAAAAAUAUAGGCCUGUGAGCAAUGAAAUUAAAAUAUAUUUUGCACACAAUACAAAGGAAAAGGAAAUAAAAGGAUCUUUGGAAGUUUUCCCGGACUAUUGCUUCGAGUUUGCUACCAUGGAUACACUAGAAGGAAGGGCAGAAAAAGAUACACAAUGCUCAGGUAUGUUUAUAGUCGUAAUUACAACCUCCAAAUAAUUUAUAUUUCUAACUACUAUAUCACUAAUCUCCAAAUAUACUGAUGUUAUUGGACUACUAACUCAAAUGAAGCCAGUGGAGACAAGAAUAACAAAAAAGAACCCACAACCUUCGCGAGAUUGAAAUCCUAAUGCCAGAGUAAGUGCAUAUGCAUAUGCAUGUCUGAAAUUAAACUAAACCUCCCCCAUGUGGUCAGCAUCAUAACAAUCGAAGCAUGCUGGCGGAUAUUCCAUUUGAUCUACACCAUCGUGAUCCACCAGUUGAGAGACUGUCAUUCCACAUUGAAAUGAGCAACAAUUAUUUUUCCGGACUCAACUGACAUUGAGAAGAUAGUAAGAAGACCAGGAUCCACAAGUACUAAGUUCACAGAGUGGAUGGAGGCAAACAAAAUAUACAAGGUGGGAAAAGAAUUAACCUAUGCAGAAUUCCCAUCAAAAUUUGUAUGGAAAAGCGAAAGCAAAACUUGGGAGGAGCGGAAAAGGGGCUUUGCAAUUGGAAGAAUCUACUAUGCACACCCUGCAAGUGGUGACCAGUAUUAUAUGUGAAUGCUUCUAAACACCAAGAAAGGAUGCACAUCAUUUGAGGAUAUUAGAACAAUUAAUGGAGUUGUUCACCCAACAUACAAAUUAGCAUGCCAACCGCUUGGAUUUCUUGAUGACGAUAGUGAAUGGAUUGAAUGCAUCAAUGAAGCAUCAAGCUAGGGAUCAGGGACACAAUUACGACAACUAUUUACCACAAUUUUAUGCCAUUGUGAGGUGACCAGCCCAAAGAUGUUGUGGUAUUCAACAAGGGAGGCACUGUCUGAAGAUAUCCAGUACAAAAGAAGAACCAUCCUAAACUUUCCUACGCUAAAGCUCACUGAUUCACAGAAAAAAACAUAUGCUCUUAUCGAGAUAGAGUAACUAAUGAGGCAAGCAGGAAAGACACUAAAGGACUAUCCAAACAUAGAACUACCAAAUGCUACAGAACUUCAAAAACUUGGGAACAUAAUGAUAAACGAAGAACUUAGCUAUGACAUGGAGGCACUAAAGAGUGAGAACCAAACAAUAAUACACAAUCUUAACCACGACCACAAUCUUAAAGACAUAAUUUUACAUAAAGGAGAAGACCCCAAAGAAGAGAUAGUCAAAAGAAUGUACCCAAACUUGCAACAAAACUAUCAUGAUCGUGAAUUUCUUGGAAGAAAGAGCAAUAUUGUGCCCAAGGAAUGAAAAAGUUGAGAAGAUAAAUGACUAAAUAAUGAGCCAAAUACAAGGUGAAGAUGUGACAUACCUAAGCUUGGACACUACAUGCAAGGCAACAAUGAAGUACAACACAAUGGAUAAUAUGUUUCCAACGGAGUUCCUUAACAACAUGAUCUUCCCAGGAAUUCCAAACCAUCAGCUAAAACUGAAGGUAGGUUUGCUGGUGAUGCCCCUACGAAACAUCAAUCAAGUGGCAGGUUUAUACAAUGGCACAAGAAUGACUAUCGCACAACUGGAAACAGGUACAUUGAGGCACAAAUAAUCACACGAACACACGUCGGUGACAAGGUAUACAUACCUAAAAUCAUUAUGUCACCAAGCGACUCAAAAUGGCCGUUCGUGCUGAAAAGAAGGCAAUAUCCUCUAUCAGUUUGUUUUGCAGUGACAAUAAAUAAAAGCCAAGGUCAAUCCCUAAACAAGGCGGGCCUAUAUUUUCCUAAGCAAGUCUUCUGCCCUGGGCAACUAUAUGUGGCAUUAUCAAGAGUCACAAAGAGAGAAGGAUUAAAGGUGUUGAUCGACGACACGGAGCGCCCAAGCGAAGAUAGCGCAAAGAAUAUAGUAUACAAAGAGAUCUUCUAAUUUUUUUGUUAUUCACACAAAUGCAUACGAGGGCCAAAUCACCAUGAUUAAAAAUUACAACGUAUGGUUCAAAAGCAUGACGUCCAUGUCUUACAUAUAUGGCCCGAAAUACUGUAUAAAAAAGUAUGUUAUACAUUGGAUUUCUUAUUAUUUCGUAAGCAGGAAAUAAGAACAUGAAAAUGCAUAUUAUUAUUGCCAUACGCUGCUUUCAUGCUUAGAGAUGUUAACAAGUGUUUACAUGUAGCUUACUUUCUACAUGGGCAAAAGUUUAAAAGUCUUAUUGCAAAUUUGGAAUAAUAACCACUCCGACAAACAUGAUUAUCAGAAAUCUUAUUAGAUGACAAGAUUCCAUAAGCAAGAUAAGAAACCAUAUCUGUAACUAAUUCACACACCUUGCAUUUGUGUGUGCACCAUAUAACAUUGUGUAUGAUUGUAUGUUCACCAUAUAGCACUGCCUCUAUGUGGUAAUUAAGACACAAGAAGCUGACAAGAAAACUAGCCGCACCUAAAUAACUAAACUACAAAAAUUAAACUACAGCUAACCGCAUGCAUGUGUCACAUUAAGCUGAUGCUUUUGCUACAUAGCUCAGUAAAAGUGCAGGUAAACCACCUUCUUCUACUGAAAAUUAAUAAUUAGAUGCAAGGGUCUAUUGUUAGGUUCAGUUAAGACUUAAUUCAAGCAGAUCCACAUGUUUGCUUCACUGCAGAAUGCAGAGAACAAGUAUAGCUCCACUUCUAAACACAUAAAGUUGUGGUAUGAAUUAUGAUUUCACACAAAAAGUUCUUUAUCAAUGGAAAGAUAAAAUCUUAUUCUAAUUUCUAGAUCAUUCAAGUUCACAAAGCCUUAUAUGGUUGCAAUAAAACUGACAUUUGGUAGAAGUCCGGACAGCAGGAGGGCAAUAACUAAAAGCCACUUGCAGAAAAUACUCACAUCUUGCUGAUAUUUUUUCCUCCGCAAGCUCCCUCAAUACCUCCGCAGCCCCAACAUCCAAAGCCUCCAGCUACAACAAGUUUGAGCAGCGUAGCCCACGUUCUCCCUGGACAUCUCCAUGACCGCGUUGCCAGACUCGACGAGGUCGCCGAGAUCCACACACUCACCCUGCCACAUGUGCCACCAUCAAGGAAGAAAAAUUAGGAGAAAAGAAGCGACAUGUGGAUCUGGGAUAGCAUGAGGAUUAGUAUCCUGAUGAGGCACAGCGACGUCGUCCUUCGCUGGUGGCAAAUAGGAAGAAAUGACGGAUGUGCAGGAGGAGCCUGGUGGGGAUCGUAGGGGGGGAAGGAGAGUGAGUUCUAUGUUUUUUAGAAUCGAGAGAGAGUUCUAUGUAGAUGACCGGGACUGGGG